rnacentral:rRNA from 1 species
UCUUGGUCAUUUAGAGGAAGUAAAAGUCGUAACAAGGUUUCCGUAGGUGAACCUGCGGAAGGAUCAUUAUCGAGUUUUGACUGGGUUGUAGCUGGCCUUCCGAGGCAUGUGCACGCCCUGCUCAUCCACUCUACACCUGUGCACUUACUGUGGGUAUCAGAUCGUGAAGCGUGCUCUUUUACCGGAGCUUGUGAAGCGUGUCUGUGCCUGCGUUUAUCACAAACACUAUAAAGUAUCAGAAUGUGUAUUACGAUGUAACGCAUCUAUAUACAACUUUCAGCAACGGAUCUCUUGGCUCUCGCAUCGAUGAAGAACGCAGCGAAAUGCGAUAAGUAAUGUGAAUUGCAGAAUUCAGUGAAUCAUCGAAUCUUUGAACGCACCUUGCGCUCCUUGGUAUUCCGAGGAGCAUGCCUGUUUGAGUGUCAUGAAAUCUUCAACCUAUAAGCUUUUGUGGUUUGUAGGCUUGGACUUGGAGGCUUGUCGGCCUUGAUCGGUCGGCUCCUCUUAAAUGCAUUAGCUUGAUUCCUUGCGGAUCGGCUCUCGGUGUGAUAAUAUCUACGCCGCGACCGUGAAGCGUUUGGCGAGCUUCUAACCGUCUCACUUGAGAGACAACUUUAUGACCUCUGACCUCAAAUCAGGUAGGACUACCCGCUGAACUUAAGCAUAUCAAUAAG